UCUUUGCUAGUAUAUCGGAUAGUACAGCCGCCUGUCAUGUGCUGGUGGCCGGAUCGCGGCAGAGCUGGGUUCGACUCCCAGGCAGAGAG